AAAAAUUUAUGUACCUUUUAUUGUAGAAAAAAGAGUAAAAUAGAAAAAUAAUUUAAUAAUUCAAUGUAAUAUACAAAUAAAAUAAAUUGUUCAUACUAUAUAUAUGUAUGUUUGUAUGCUUUUGUUGUAAAGGAAUUGCAAAUUUUAGAUGUGGUCCACUUGUAACACCGCGCCCCACCAAAAAAGAAGCUUUGUGGUGCCAGGUUCAAGUCCUGGCACCACCUAAAAUUUCUUCAUUUUUUUAGUUGAGUUGGAAGGCUGGUUUGAGUUGGAAACUCGUUUAAGACCUGGCCAGAUUUCUGAUUCGCUGGUUACCCGCCUGGUUCACAUCGGUUUUCUGUAAAUGAGGGCUUGAUACUUAAACUGGACUGGACCAAGUACUAGUGGGAUAUUAAACCAGUCUGACCAGCCGGUCCAGUCCGGUUCUGAUAACCAUGCUUUAGAUUUACUAAUAAACGGGCACUUCUGGCCCUGACUAUAGAAUUAUGAUUUUUUUUUACUGUACUUUAGUCACUGACCUCCUGACGUUUUUAAUUAGAUUAUACUUUGGUUCUUAAGGUUUGAACUUGCACUCUAGUCUCUGAAUUAUUACUAUAUAAAACACUUAGAUCCUUCAAAAUCCUGCUUUUCUCAGUAAUAACAAUAAAGGAACUAGAAGUGCUAAUUUUCAGUAGGGACCAAAUUAUAGAUUACAGCAAAUCUCAGGGUUUAUUAAUACCCAUCCCACUGAAAAGUUGGGUAUUUAUAUUAUUUUGUUUUGUGUAGAUUUGUUAUUUUAUUUUAUCUAGUUUGUAACUUGGGGAUCCUGGGUUAACAUGUAUUCUCGUGAGCAACUAAAAAUACAAUAGGUUUUGCUUGAUGUUAUUUCUUUUCAGGCAUUGAUGUGGUGGACACUCAUGUUCAGCAGGUUAUAGAAUUAGAAACUAAUUUCAAUAUUAAACUGUAUGACAGGUUUUACUAGCAACUGGGGGCGGCCACUUAGUCUAUCUGGAAAUU
rnacentral:misc_RNA from 1 species